GCUUGGAUUGCUUAGUUGGGAGAGCAUGAGACUCUUAAUUUCAGGCUUGUGGGUUCGAGCACUACAGGGGAUUGGACU